GUGGGAGGUCUGGCUUUGGAGCCUGAGGGGCUCACAGCUCUGGUCCUUGGAGCUCCAGAGAAAAUGUUGCUCCGGGGCUGAGUUCUGUGCACCCCCCUUGCCCUCCACACUCCCCGGGGCUAU
rnacentral:pre_miRNA from 7 species